rnacentral:antisense_RNA from 1 species
AAUAGACACAAGGAGAGGCAAGAAGCUCCACCUCACCCCAGUGGGGGCUGCAGGUGGAUGGAGACCAGGGCAUGCGGAGCGCCCCUGAGCAGCUGUGGCUGGGGUGGGAGCAGGGCCAUGAUGGCUCUGGAGAAAAGUGGGGCACGCAGCUGCCUCCCUGGGGCUGAGGGGCUGCAAGGAGAAGUUGCAUCCCUAUGCAUGGCCUAUGCACGGUACCCAGUACCCAUGGCCACCCUGGCAUUUCAGGCACCUGCUGUGCGCCAGGUCAGGCCCCAGACUGGCAUCUUCUCUCUGUGUACCAGCACCUGGCAGGAAGCGGCAGCACCAUCUGGUUGCCUGGCAGCCUUGUCCUGCUCCCAGCUGCCUGUGGCCCCACUGGACUCAGCCCCCCAGCAGGGAGGCCUUCGGCUGCAGGGCAGGGGCUGGGCGGGCACACCCUGUGGCUGGGGGCACUCAGGAGCCCUGGCUUCACCUCUGCUCUCGGCGCACAUGUGGACAGCUCACCCUCCAGCAGGGGUCCGGACCAAAGUCCUUGACCCACCGGGUUCUGAGUCCUGACAGGGCUGUGGACAGCUUCCCUUUCCACCCCGGCACCUUCUGGCAGGAGCUUCCGGGCCCUCACCCUGGGGCAGCAACUCCUGCACCACCAACCAUGCCCGGCCACGAGUAAGUGCAGAACAGCUCAGGCCCUUCUCACAACUUCCUGGAGCUCAGGGACAGUUUUUUGAGCACAAAUGGUGUUAGGUGACAAACUCGGGAUUGGCCUUGGACACUCAGCCCCCUCUUUCUGGAGUAAAGACUCAUGACCCACGUCCAAGUCACCCUGCACAUCCCUAAGCCUGACCGUGAGGCAGCCCUCAGGGAUGCCCAGGACUCCCUGUCCGCACCACCAGGCAGUCGAGGCAGGUUUGGACCAGCUUCUCACACUCACACCUUCCUAGGGUUGCCCCAGGCCCUGACCUGCUGACCCUGCAGCUAUGACCUCUGACCUGUGGAGGAUGGGAGGGGUGAGCAGGAGGGAGAGUGGGAAGGAGGAAUGGAAAACAGUCCAGGAAGGGAGGCUGCAGCCCCAACACGAACAGGAGCCACCACCAGGGGGCUGUGCAGGGCUCCCGGAGGACAGGACCUUCCAGGGCCUCCCUGCCCCGAACCCAUAGGUGCCAGGCUUCUCACUGCUCACGACCUCUGUGCCGGGCUCAUACCUGCCACGCCAGCCCCUCUUCAGCAGAGCACAAGUCUGGCAGCAAGAGGGCACCAGCCAGGCGCCCCGUGCCCCCGCCUCUGUACAGCAGGGUCACUGUGGGGUGACAUGAGAACACCGACCCAGGGAAUGGGCUCCUGCCACACCUGCCUGGGAACCUGGGCUGUGAGUCCUGCUCGCUGCACCCUCUAGCCUGACGUUGAAGUAACCUCGCCAGCGGGGCCCUCUGUGGCACUGGGCACUCAGGGACAGCACGUGGUAUUGGAGAAGGUCCCACUCCCAAAUGCAAAGCUGGGAAAACCAGGUUGAGCCGGGGAUCAGGCCACCUCCGCAGGGACCCACUGCUGCCUCUUCCAGGAGCCCAGGAGACCCAGUGGGUCUCCUGCCCCCGACUCCAACUCCCUCCUGGCAGGACACACCCAGCUCACAGUGGCCUUUCCAUCCUGGGAAAGGGAGUGAGAGGAGGCUCAGGCCAGGGACCCGCCCAGCUCUGGCCGGCAACCGCCCUUCAGCCUUUGUUCCUGAACCACUGUGUGGGCCCCAACCCAUCCGCUGCCUGCUGGAGGGAGCCCAUGGGGAAUGGACUGUUCUUGCCACCCCUAUCCAUGGCAGGCGAGGGGCUCAGCAUGGCUCUUGCCCACCCAGAAGAAGGUGCAGGGGGCCUGGCGUGGUGGUUCACACCUUUGGGAGGCCGAGGUGGGUGGAUCACCUCAGGUCAGGAGUUUGAGACCAGCCUGGCCAACAUGGUGAAACCCUGUUUCUACUAAAAAUACAAAAAUUAGCCAGGCGUGGUGAUGGGCACCUGUAAUCUCAGCUACUCAGGAGGCUGAGGCAGGAGAAUCACUUUCACUUAAACCUAGGAGGUGGAGGUUGCAGUGAGUUGAGAUCUGCCACUGCACUCCAGCCUGGGCAACAGAACGAGACUCCGUCUC